rnacentral:sRNA from 1 species
AAAGACACGCUAUUUAAAUACAGAUCCAACUUAGAAAUAAUGUUUCAUUCAAGAUAAGGCUCGUGAUUUAGGAGAUUGUGACCUGGCUUGCAUCAUUCUAAGACUUCUAUCAUCUGUUUUCAAAACCCAAGGAGGACCUCAUUUUCUGUGUGAUAGUUCCUCAUGCUUUGCCAGCCACUGUGUCUUUAAGGAAGCUUGCCAAGAGUUCCUGGCUGGGAAGGACAGUUCGAGUUCAUCAUAGACAAUGAGCUGGCACCACAUUUUAAGUGACUCACCAACCUGGUUGCCCACUUCAAAAUGUCAAGAACCACACUAUCUAAUUGAAAGAACUGUGUUUUAGCAAAGUGUAAUUGGAUCACCUGGCAAGAUCAUCUCAAACUGUGUCUCUGACCUUGCCUUUCAGUGGCUGUUUUGAGCACAAGAGGAGAAAGGAAAUGAUUCCUGAAUUAUAUCUUGUUUUUAAAAAUUAAGAUUAAUUAAUACUUGGUUUUAUGUUCAUUCCAUUGUAGGAACUUCAUGAUUAUUACAAAACAGUCAAAAUAGGUCAUAGCAAAAUGAACGUUUAAGAUUAGGUUAAAACAUUCCUCUGAAAUUUUAGUAUUCACUUUUGAAGUGUCAAUUACUAUAUUUCUGUAUCUUUUUUUCUUGGCUUAGAGUCAAGAUGAAAAAUGAUAUUUGAAUCAAAG